rnacentral:misc_RNA from 1 species
GUAUCUGUGAUAUGUUUAUCUGUAUCUGUGAAUGCAUCUUAUCUUUUCGCCUCACUAGUCACUUCUAGAAACACAACCCUUCUUUAGAUGGAAUAGAAAAAGUAGUUCUCAAAUUUCAAUGAAGUGGGUUUCACAAAGUCAACCAAAUUGAAACAUAAUAUUUUUAAUAAAUCAGAUGUACUUUGAUAUUCUUGCUUUAACUUUACCAGUGUAUGUUGAGUUUUCUAUUACUCCUUCAAUUCCCUGAAUGCAUGCUGGCAUUUUCUCUUAUUACUAUUGGGUUCUUUCUGCUUUUUUCUAAUACAUAUGCAUUUAACCAUUCCAGUGGAACCUGUGGUAAUGCUGUGUCCAUAAUUGGUGCUUCUUGCAAGUUCAUAAUUUAACAAUAUGGGCUUUCAAUUUAUGUUUCAUUUUGUGCAAUAUGCUAUUAUUAAUAUGAUUAUUCAUAAAAUGGCUUCUUCAGUGAGGAAGUCUUUUAUCUUUUCCCCUCAUUUUGGUUUUGCCUUCAUUUAACUAGGAUUAAAAGCCUAUCACUAUACAGCAGUUAAUGAUCUCUUCACCAUAUCUCAAACUUUGUGUUUGGAGUGUGGGGAAGAGGGGGCAGGGGUGGGACAUGACACAUGAUUUCUUUUUCUGAGUUGUAAAAUGUUUGAGUCAAUACAGCUGGUGACAGAUUUAUGCAUGAAAAUUUUCUGUUGAAGUAGACAUUCUAGAUUCCUUUUGGUUGCAUUGGUGAUAUAGCUGAACACAUCAUACGUUUGAAGUUGAUCAGGGGGAUAUUUAUGAUGGCUGUCAAUUAUAGGCUUAUUGCUGAUGUGUGGGGUUGGAUGGUACAGAGGGUGCUGAUUUUACUGAUGGCAGUAUUCCUAUAUUUGUUGAUUUUCGGGCCCCUAAUUGGCAAUUAUAGGUUUGAGACGUCUAUUUGUGCCCCAAGUUUUACAUGCUUUGGAGUUUGAACCUGAGAUGGUCUGCUAUUAAGGAUGGGUUUGAAGUCAUGGUUCCAAGUUAUAAUAUGAACUGCAAGUCAUUACUUUUGGGUUAUUCAUGAGACAUUACUUGCCAAAUGGUCAAUAAGUGUCAGCAUAAUAUAUUAAAUUGUUUGCUAUGCUUGAACUAUGUAUAACGAUUUUCG